UAAGAAACAAAAUGCUGAGUAACAACAUGAAGUCAGAGUGUUGCUUGCCAAGAGCUGGGAGGCCUGGGUGGUUUCCCAAUCUUAAAGAAGCAGAAGGAUAUUAAAGUGAGCCUCCCAAAGGAAAACGUGGAUCUACUUACCAACGCAGAAAAUGAUACACAGGGAUUCGAUUUAGGCUGGAGUACAGUAACUGCAACCUCCACCUCCCAGGUUCCAGUGAUUGUCAUGGCUCAGUCUGCCAAGGAGCUGGGAUUACAGGCACGCUACAUUCAAAUGACUUGGAAGAGCAGGUUCUCUGAGCCAGGAUACUAAAGUCCCUGUUUAGGAAAGAGCCACAUUGUAUGUUUACCCUACCACAAAAAUACAGUCAUGUGCCUGGGAAAGGUUGAUCCCAGCUCCAGAAAGUCGUCUGAAUGGUCUAAGUAAUGUCAUCCAUCUGUCAGUAAUAGAUUCAGAAAUGGGUAUGUGAUUCAAGUCUGGCCAAUGAGAUGUAUGCAGAAGAGUGCUGGGUAUUCUGGAAAGUUAUCCCUUGUCAUUCAGAGAUCCACAGGAAUCCAGCCUUUUGCUCCCUGAAUGGGAUAAGGAAGCACAUAA
rnacentral:lncRNA from 1 species